rnacentral:rRNA from 1 species
CCUACGGGAGGCAGCAGUGAGGAAUAUUGGUCAAUGGACGAGAGUCUGAACCAGCCAAGUAGCGUGAAGGAUGACUGUCCUAUGGGUUGUAAACUUCUUUUAUAUGGGAGUAAAAUGUUCCACGUGUGGGAGUUUGUAUGUACCAUAUGAAUAAGGAUCGGCUAACUCCGUGCCAGCAGCCGCGGUAAUACGGAGGAUCCGAGCGUUAUCCGGAUUUAUUGGGUUUAAAGGGAGCGUAGGUGGAUUGUUAAGUCAGUGGUGAAAGUUUGCGGCUCAACCGUAAAAUUGCAGCUGAAACUGGUAGUCUUGAGUACAGUAGAGGUGGGCGGAAUGCGUGGUGUAGCGGUGAAAUGCUUAGAGAUCACGAAGAACUCCGAUUGCGAAGGCAGUUCACUGGACUGCAACUGACACUGAGGCUCGAAAGUGUGGGUAUCAAACAGGAUUAGAUACCCCUGUAGUC